rnacentral:rRNA from 1 species
CCUACGGGUGGCUGCAGUGGGGAAUAUUGGACAAUGGGGGGGAACCCUGAUCCAGCCAUGCCGCGUGUGUGAAGAAGGCCCUCGGGUUGUAAAGCACUUUCAGUGAGGAAGAACGCCUGGUGGUUAAUACCCAUCAGGAAAGACAUCACUCACAGAAGAAGCACCGGCUAACUCCGUGCCAGCAGCCGCGGUAAUACGGAGGGUGCGAGCGUUAAUCGGAAUUACUGGGCGUAAAGCGCGCGUAGGUGGCUUGAUAAGCCGGUUGUGAAAGCCCCGGGCUCAACCUGGGAACGGCAUCCGGAACUGUCAAGCUAGAGUGCAGGAGAGGAAGGUAGAAUUCCCGGUGUAGCGGUGAAAUGCGUAGAGAUCGGGAGGAAUACCAGUGGCGAAGGCGGCCUUCUGGACUGACACUGACACUGAGGUGCGAAAGCGUGGGUAGCAAACAGGAUUAGAUACCCCGGUAGUC